rnacentral:rRNA from 1 species
UGUAGUCCUAGCAGUAAACGGUGUGCGCUUGGUGUGAGGGGAUUCGACCCCCCUUGUGCCGGAGCUAACGCGUUAAGCGCACCGCCUGGGAAGUACGGCCGCAAGGCUAAAACUCAAAGAAAUUGACGGGGACCCGCACAAGCGGUGGAGUAUGUGGCUUAAUUCGAUGCAACGCGAAGAACCUUACCAAGGCUUGACAUGGAUUUCUAAGCACGUGAAAGCGUGUGACCCUUCGGGGGACUUCCACAGGUGCUGCAUGGCCGUCGUCAGCUCGUGUCGUGAGAUGUUGGGUUAAGUCCCGCAACGAGCGCAACCCCUGUGAUUAGUUGCCAGCACGUAAUGGUGGGGACUCUAGUCAGACUGCCCAGAUCAACUGGGAGGAAGGUGGGGACGUCGUCAGGUCAGUAUGGCCCUUACGCCUUGGGCUGCACACGUACUACAAUGCCCAGCACAAUGAGAACCGAGACCGCGAGGUGGAGGAAAUCUGUAAAACUGGGCCCAGUUCGGAUUGGAGGCUGCAACUCGCCUCCAUGAAGCCGGAAUCGCUAGUAAUGCUGCAUCAGCUACGGCAGCGUGAAUACGUU